ACACGAGGAAACUUGUGCUAAUACCUCAUAAGUCUUUACGGAGAAAGCUUUAUGCGCCAUUGGAUGAGCCUGCACUUGAUUAGUUUGUUGGUGGGGUAAUGGCCUACCAAGACUUUGAUCAAUAGCUGAUUUGAGAGGAUGAUCAGCCACAUUGGGACUGAGACACGGCCCAAACUCCUACGGGAGGCAGCAGUGGGGAAUCUUGCACAAUGGAGGAAACUCUGAUGCAGCGAUGCCGCGUGAGUGAAGAAGGCCCUUGGGUUGUAAAGCUCUUUCGUCGGGGAAGAAAAUGACUGUACCCGAAUAAGAAGGUCCGGCUAACUUCGUGCCAGCAGCCGCGGUAAUACGAAGGGACCUAGCGUAGUUCGGAAUUACUGGGCUUAAAGAGUUCGUAGGUGGUUGAAAAAGUUGGUGGUGAAAUCCCAGAGCUUAACUCUGGAACUGCCAUCAAAACUUUUCAGCUAGAGUUUGAUAGAGGAAAGCAGAAUUUCUAGUGUAGAGGUGAAAUUCGUAGAUAUUAGAAAGAAUACCAAUUGCGAAGGCAGCUUUCUGGAUCAUUACUGACACUGAGGAACGAAAGCAUGGGUAGCGAAGAGGAUUAGAUACCCUCGUAGUCCAUGCCGUAAACGAUGUGUGUUAGACGUUGGAAAUUUAUUUUCAGUGUCGCAGCGAAAGCGAUAAACACACCGCCUGGGGAGUACGACCGCAAGGUUAAAACUCAAAUGAAUUGACGGGGACCCGCACAAGUAGUGGAGCAUGUGGUUUAAUUCGAAGAUACGCGCAGAACCUUACCAACACUUGACAUGUUCGUCGCGACUUUAAGAGAUUAAAGUUUUCGGUUCGGCCGGACGAAACACAGGUGCUGCAUGGCUGUCGUCAGCUCGUGUCGUGAGAUGUUGGGUUAAGUCCCGCAACGAGCGCAACCCUCACUUUUAGUUGCCAUCAUUAAGUUGGGCACUCUGAAAGAACUGCCAGUGAUAAGCUGGAGGAAGGUGGGGAUGACGUCAAGUCCUCAUGGCCCUUACGUGUUGGGCUACACACGUGCUACAAUGGUAUUUACAACAGGAAGCAAGACGGCGACGUUAAGCAAAUCCUCAAAAAAUACCUCAGUUCGGAUUGCACUCUGCAACUCGAGUGCAUGAAGCUGGAAUUACUAGUAAUCGUGGAUCAGCGUGCCACGGUGAAUGCGUUCCCGGGUCUUGUACACACCGCCCGUCACACCAUGGGAGUUGGUUCUACCUUAAGGC
rnacentral:rRNA from 1 species